UUAGCUAGUUGGUAAGGUAAUGGCUUACCAAGCGAUCUAUAGGGUGNGUGAGAGNGUGGACCCCCACACGGGUACUGAGACACGGACCCACUCCUACGGGAGGCAGCAGUAAGGAAUAUUGGACAAUGGGGGCAACCCUGAUCCAGCCAUCCCGCGUGCAGGAAGACGGCCCUAUGGGUUGUAAACUGCUUUUAUUAGGGAAGAAAAAUUACCGGGUUUACCUGUAACUGACCGUCACCUAAA
rnacentral:rRNA from 1 species